rnacentral:lncRNA from 1 species
GCAAAAACAAAUAAAUAUGAAUUGUCAAUUGCAUGGUAAUUUUAGCCAAAGAAAAAAAUCGACAAAUAUAAAUUUCUAUUAUUUAAUUUAUAUUUUGUGACAUACAAAACAAAAUGCUGCCCUUUAGAUUCGCCGCCCCGAACAAAUGUCCGGAUUGCUCGCCCCUAGAGCGGGCGCUGACUGACGGGACAAAACAAACCCUUUCAGAGAUUAUCUUCUGCGAAAGGGUCAGCCGGACUGUGGAGGACGUCGAUCGAUGGGGGGCCGGACACCAUGAUAUAUAUUUACAAGGGAUGGAACCAAAGAUUCGAACUCGGAUCAUCCAGAAUGGAAAGCCAAAGCAUUUCCACGUGGCCAAUCCGGCCGACUCUAUCUUUAGGCAC